rnacentral:rRNA from 1 species
GAGACUCUGUGCGCGUGCAUAUCAAUAAGCGGAGGAAAAGAAACUAACAAGGAUUCCCUUAGUAACGGCAAGUGAAGCGGGAAGAGCUCAAAUUUGAAAUCUUCAAGGUUCUACCUUGACGAAUUGUAGUUUAUAGAAGUGUUUUCUGUUAGUGGAGUGGCAAAAGUUCUUUGGAAUAGGACAUCAUAGAGGGUGAGAAUCCCGUAUUUGGUCAUUCCUCCUAGCGUUGUGAUACACUUUCAACGAGUCGGAUUGUUUGGGAAUGCAGUCCAAAAUGGGUGGUAAAUUUCAUCUAAAGCUAAAUAUUGGCGAGAGACCGAUAGCGAACAAGUACCGUGAGGGAAAGAUGAAAAGAACUUUGAAAGGAGAGUUAAACAGUACGUGAAAUUGUCAAAAGGGAAGCGUUUGACACCAGUGUUGUUUUUCCGAAAAUCAAUUACGAAUGUUUUGUUUUUGAGGAGUUAUGACUUCAUCGGCUUGCUCCUUUCUUUACGAAACUUUCUUAAUGCACUUUUCGGUUAACAAGUCAACAUCAAUUUCUUUUGUUGUAAAAGGGUAUGAGGAAGGGUGGCUUUCUUUUCGGAGAAAGUGUUUAUAGCCUUGUGCCUCUAGCAAUCGGAGAGAUUGAGGUCUGCAGCGUAGAUCCUUCGGGGUUAGAUACGUUUGUGCUAAGUUAUAGCUUUUCAUAGACAACUUGUUGACUAUGUUUAGUCUUGUAGCUUACUCGCUGACGCUACUUUACCUACGCUUAGGAUGUUGAAGAUGUAGCACAUCAU